UAGUCGCAUUUCCAGCAAAGUUACUACCACUGUUGGGACCAGCAGCAGCAGCAGCAGCAGUGAAACCUCCAUUGCUGAAACUGCCACCAAAACCACCGAAGCUUCCACCACUGGGAGCUCCACUGUUGUUAUUGCCUGCACCAUAGGUGUUUGGAGAACUGUACCCACCGGUGUUUCCACCAGGAUUGCCAGUGGUACCGUAGUUUCCUCCACUGCCGUAUCCACCACCGGAAGCACUGUUGAAGUUGCUAGCAUAACCGCCACUGGUAGCUCCAUCAUUGUAACCACUGUUGCCAGCAUAUCCUCCACCAGAAGCAUCGUUGUAGUUGCCUGCACCAUAGGUGUUUGGAGAACUGUACCCAUCGGCAUUUCCACCAGGAUUGCCAGUGGUACCGUAGCUUCCUACAUUGCCGUAUCCACCACCAGAAGCACUGUUGAAGUUGCUAGCAUAACCGCCACUGGUAGCUCCAUCAUUGUAACCACUCUUGCCAGCAUAUCCGCCACCAGAAGCAUUGUUGGAGUUGCUACCAUAGCCGCCACUGCCGCCACCAUCUCCACCGUAUCCACCGCUGUUACCACCAUACCCUCCAGAACUAUAUCCACCACUGUUACCACCAUAUCCCCCAGAAUUAUAUCCACCGCCACCGCCAUACCCACCAGUAGCAUAUCCACCUCCACCACCAUAAGCACCACCGGAGCCAAAUCCACCACCUCCACGUAUUCCACCAGCACGGUCAUUGGCAUGGUUCACCUUUACAGGUCGGCCUUGAAGUUCCUGUAUGAGAUGAAAUAGUUUCAAUGCUUUGCAAACAAGCAAACUAUUUAUGUUCCAGGAAACAGCAUGCUUAUUAGAUACAAGUAUCAACAACGUGAGACUCAAAUAACUUUUCAAUUCACUUGCCAUGUGAAAAUGAUAAAAUUUAUUCUUUUAAAAAUUCCAGAGUAAUAAGGGCCUGUUUCAGGAGAGCUCCAACUUCUGUAUUCUUGCAGGAUCUGGAGUUUGUAGGAUAAAACCAAGAUGGUCUAAGACUUUGUUUUUAGUCUAAAAUGGAAACAAGACAGCUCGCACAAAAACCCUCUAGUCUUGACCCAACUCCAGCUCCAAGAAUUACAGGCCCAGUUAUUUUUAAGCUAAGCUAAAACUCCUAGGCACGAAUCAACCCAGUGUAAAUUUAAUUGUUUACAGGAGUCAUUUAUCACAUACACUGCUCUGAUCUACUCUUUCGGUGCUUACGAAUAUACCAACUGGAUUGUUGCAUCAGAAACUAAAGAUAAACAAAAAAUCAUUGCAAUAAUACAUACGCCAAAACUCUGCAAAAGGGGCUGCAAUACUCUAACCCAAGAAUAUUUUGGUCAAAACCAUCGCUUGUAUGUAUGGUACCAUAUCAAUCCAUGCAGUGAACUACUGAAAAGAAACCACAGUCCAACAUUGAGCCCAGCUAAAAAUCAACGGUUAGCAGUUGCUUGUUUCUAUUGGAGUUUUAGUCCGCAUGAAGUGGAGAUAAACUGAACAAAGAGAUGGGACUUAAGAGUUAAUAAAAUGUAACGAGAAGUAGAAAUUGGAAUUUGGAAGGUCGAUAGUGCCCGUUCUCAGAACACUAUGUCUAAGCAGUGAAAAGAACACAAUCUUGGAUGACAGGGAGCACCUUAACUACACUGCACAUUCUGACCUAAUACAACAAAUUCAAGAAAUGUACACUUGAGGUGCUAUUCCUCAAGUAAAACCAUGGAACCUAAGGGUGACCUUUGGGUUCGCCUUUGCAAAUAAAAGCGGUUCAAAGGAUAGACAAUAAAACAAUAGAUAUGAUGGCCUACCUUGCCAUCCAUGGCAGUAAUUGCAGCUGAGGCUUCUUCACUGGAUGUAUAAGUUACAAAUCCAAAUCCCCUUGACCUGCCGGAUUCCCGAUCCAUGAUGACUCGGGCUGAAUGCAAUACAAAAAUAGAGAAGUGUUAAACACACAAGGAAAAAUGCCCACAGAGAAAUGCGAGCCAAAUUAAUUGGACAAACAAACCUUCAAGUACAUCUCCAUAUUUUGAAAAUUCAUUCCUCAGAGUGGUUUCAUCUGUGGCAUAUGAAAGUCCUACAAGCAGGUUGAUUAGAAAUAGAAUUAGAUACCCAGACAGCAUAAAACAAACCCUACAUCCAGAAGGUAGAAGAGGAGAUUAAAAUCGAUCUGAACAUACCUCCAACAAAAAGCUUGGAAGAGGACAUGCAUCUUACUGCCUGAAGCAGCGGCGAGCUAGAGGGCACCGAAGUUCUCCUGAGCGCAUUUCCAAUUCUACUAGCGAAAGCCAUUGCACCAAGUCCUCGCUAGAAACCAACCGCACGCACUGAAAGAAGCACAAUCUGGCCAGUUGUCAGACACAAAACUGUAUACAGCUGCUUAUGCAAAAGAAUCGACCCGAGAAAGGAAACGAGAAGAGGGUUGAACUUGAAACUUGACAGAUUAUUGAGCCUACUCCACUCUAUACAUCUGAUUUUUUUUAAAAAAAAUAAACACCGCAAUCAUCCAUUCCCCAGGGGCCUUACGCAACUUUAACAGGAAAUAUUAAUCCAAAUUAGAUACUAGAACGGACAAUCCAGAGAAUUGCAUCCAUUCCCGAGGGGCCUUACGCAACUUUAACAGGAAAUAUUAAUCCAAAUUAGAUACUAGAACGGACAAUCCAGAGAAUUGCAUCCAUUCCCGAGGGGCCUUACGCAACUUUACCAGGAAAGAUUAAUCCAAAUUAGAUACUAGAACGAACAAUCCAGAGAAUUGCAUCCAUUCCCCAGGGGCCUUACGCAACCUUAACAGGAAAGAUGAAUCCAAAUUAGAUACUAGAACGCACAAUCAGGAGAAUUGCAGAACCAGAAAUCGAUUCGAUUUUCCUACUCAUACACCUAACGCUCCAGAUGGACAGGCAAACAUCACAAUUCAUUUCACAAAACUAAUAAGCCGGCUCCAGAGCGAGAGGCAUCCGAAGCGCACGCCUCGAAUCAAGAAAAUACCGCAGCAGAUAUGAGCGAUAGCGAUUGUCGAGGCUGCGACUCGGAAGACCGGAUCAGGAUCUCGUUACCUCCGGAGUAGAUACGCCCUUCCAGCCGCCUCAGGGGGUUGCGGUUGCGGUUGCAGAGCGGCGGCUUCCAGUCCCCCACCCUAAACCCUACCGGACGGGGAUGGCCUCCCGGUCCCGGGUUUAAGCCGUCGGGCUGGGGAAAUUCAACAGCAACUAGGGUGGGCCUGGGCCAAACGUCGUCGAUGGAUCAUGAAAGGUCGAGGAAAAUUCAGGCCCAUAAACACGAAAGAACCAGCCAGCUCAGCCCAGCGAGCAUAUUGACGGAAGGCCCAACUUUAGAGAGCUGCUGGUUUCUUUUCUUUUCCCGGAACGCAGACGCUGUCGGAACGAUUUUUUUUUUCAGUCACGUUAAGCGCGAUUAGACAGGUCCAAAUACGUGCGCCAAGGAAAAGAUACGGCGGAAGAGCAGAGAAGGUUGUGCGCACUGGUGGACUGGACUGGACGGAUAUGCUUCCGGAAAGCAAAGGCGAGGCUUUUUCCACCUCCCUCCCUCCGUUGGUGCCUGCUCACCCCCACUUUGGUGGCCUGAUCUUGUUUAUUUCAAAGAGGACAGCCGAUUCGGCCGAGAUUUUCCUCCCCCCGGACGCAGCGCGUCACGAGCAGCAAAUCUCUGGCGACCUUAUCUGGCCGUCACCACGCCAGCGACAAAGCACGCGACCUAACUCCACACCCAUCCAUGGUUCUCGAUCUCCCUUGCAAACUGUUCAGCGAAUCUUCGUCCCGUCAGGAACAGAACAGCUGAGCUCCAACGAGCUCGCAGUGGCGCCGUGGCACUGCACGGGAACGGAUCGUGAGCCCAUGGCGUGCAAGAAUGUAGGAAAUCUUUGACCUGUGCGUUUCCCCUGUCGCGCCAGGAUCCGCGGCUUCGUUUUCAACUACGACGGCGGCGACGGCGACCACGCCGAGGGAGGAGCGCAGCUAGUGGUGGCUCGCCGCGAAACGGAGCAUGGCUAAUGCUUUCGCGCACGUGGAACGGGACGAGCCCACCGCUUUCUCCGGCCUACGGCACACGACAACCUAACACGCAACCGGCGCAAAAGUUGACACGACGGCGCCCUUUUCCCCCGAUCCGGCUUCCGCCCACGGCCCAUCCCGCAUCUCCAUCUCCAUCCCCAUCCACCGGCGGCUCCCUCCCUCGCCGCCGUGCCGUGCCGGCCGUCUCGCCGUGUGCCCUCCACCCAGUCUCCUCCCGUCCCCCGGCCACGCGUGCUACGCCACUAGCUAGCCCAACCCACUACCGCGUCCGCAUGCAGCCGCCGCCGCCGCUUUGACCGCGCUCCGGCGGCACGUUGACGGCUGCCGGGGCCCCGCACCUCCGUCGCCGAUCCGUUUCUCACCGUCGCGGGCGCCCUCGCGCGACGCUGACAUCGGCGGGCCCGCCACCCGGCGCGGGGCACGGGUCGCUUUCGGAAUUCCGAACCCCCCCGCCGCGGAAAGCAACGGGUGGGAGGGGGCGCACCAGCGCGUGCCGGGAGGGGAGCGUACCCGCCUCCGGCGGAGCGAGCGGGGAGCCGCGCGAUCGGGGAUGGACGGCGGGGAUGGGUGGGUGCGUGGGGGCGGGGGGCGAGUGCGUCAAAAGCGACAGUGGAAAGCAGAGGCCGCCGAGGGUGGUGGAUGGAUGGAUGGAUGGAGCGGGGAAAAGCAAAGCGUGGGCCUUUUCGCGUCCCACACCGCCCUUUUCGCGAAAUUGCACGUCCGGCAGUGGGGUUUUGCGGCGGGGCACGUCGCGUUGCUCGUAUUUGCACGGCGAGCCUAAAAAAGGGGAUACCGGUGUUGCAACAGAAAAAGACGGAAGGAACUAUUCCUUCUUUUUGCCCCUCUUCGAGUGUGCAAAAUCGACGUGUCGGGUGACAGAAAGGUGCUGGUAUGUUUGCUCGGAUAGGGAGUGCAGGAUGCUGCUGGCACCAAUUCUCAAGCUGCCACGGGAACCUGAAUUUCUGUCUGUAUAUGGGUUGUCAUUUGGCUUGCAAUUUGCAAAGUGCUUGAGAUGCCCUUGACAUGAAGGGCGUGGCUUGUUACUCGCAAGCCCGUAACGUGCUAAUAAUAAAUUGGUUCGCAUAUAAUUACCCAACUUCAUGGUCUUUCCUAUAAAGAUAACAGGAUAUUAGUUUCGUUGUGUAGCUUAAUAAUUUUGCAACGCUUGUACCGUAUGCACGUAUUAGUAGUUAUCAAAUAGGCCUUGGUUAGUCUCUCCCGUCACUUCCUUGAAACAUUAUUUUUUUUCGAAGCGAGGAUUAUCCCCAUUUUCAAUUAUAACAACGGAAGUAACUUCUGUGAAACAUUAUGGAGUCUCUUUUUGAUAUACUUAAUGUAUUUUGGAUGGUCCCCUUCCACUACACAUACACGUGAUUAUCGAAAUUGCACAUUCAGUAUUAGUUUCUAACAUUUUCAGUGCAGCUAUAUUUCGACUUUGUCACUUUUGUUUAGCUACGAAUUCUUUUGGGUUGAACAUUAUUUUUGGGAUGAUCACAACCAUAGAAUUAUAAUUACAGAACCUAGAAUGAAUCAGCCAAUGAAUCUAUAGCACAAAUUUGUAAAUAGCACAUCAUAAUCAAUACUACGAAAACCAUACCGAUAUGAUAUGCCAUUUUAUCAGCAAUUAUAUUUGCAUUAACUACCCUAUAACCUACAAUGCUGCAUUAUUCUCUUCUUUCUUUGCCUUUUGAGCCUCGUCAGUUUCAAUUAUUUUAUAACUUAGAUGUCACGGUGUCCCACCACUGAUGUUGAAGUUGCUUAUUGGUGACACCGAUGUUGAAGUUGCUUAUUGGUUAUCACUAGGAAAAUAUGCUCGACUACCUAUUGUGAUGAUUAUCCUACUACUCAUCCGUACAUACAUAAGCUAAUUAGCCCAGUCAUUGGCUCACCAUCACUAUAUAUGUCGUUAUUAUAGUAUCGGUACAUUCCUACUCUCUCACAGUGAGCUAUUUGUCCUGCGACAUACUUUGCAGGUGGAGCGAAUGUGUUCGAACUUGAUCAAAACUAGUGUUAGUCAUCCAUCUUUAUCUAAGAAUCUCUUACGGCAAGAAUUGACAUAUCACAAUUGGCAGCUCACUUCGCACUAAGAUGCUAUCCACCUUUCCGCAAAGAUUUCCUCCUUUAGAAAUUCUAUGAAAGAUUUUUCUGCUUCUAUCCAGUAAACUCACUUUGUACUAAAGAAGAAAACAUUUAUGUCACCUGCAUCAGCCUGAAUUCAUCCCAAUGCUAUUGCAGCGCUUGCAAUUUGAGGGUAAUCAGAGGCCUUUGCCGCGAAGCACACUGUGCUCAGUGCAACCCAGCCGCUGGGUCACAUGCUCCAAAGCUUCCAAACCAAGCAACCCCCACCCCCACCUCCACCCGAGGGCGCAAAGCGCAAAACUCCACCCACCCCGAGGUCCCCGCUGCAAAUAAUCCACGCGUGCCCCUCCCUCUCGCCGCCGGCCGCCGCCGCCUCACUCUUACUACACUCCACCGCGGGCCAAGCACUCCGCCCCUCCCCCACUGCCCCGCCCCAAUGCGACGGCGGCCCCCGCCGCCGCCGCCGCCGACUCCGCCCAUGGCCGCGCAAACCCUACUACCGACGCUGCUCUUGCUGCUGCUGCUGCUGCUCGGUGACGCCACCUCGGUCUCCGGCAGCGGCGAGCGCGAGGCGUUGAUGGAGUUCAAGGCGGCCAUGACGGCCGACCCGGGAGGGCUGCUGCGCGACUGGACCCCGGAGUCCGCAGACCACUGCCGCUGGCCGGGCGUGUCGUGCGGCGCGGGUGGUGAGGUGGUCGCGCUCAACGUCUCCUCCGCGCCGGGCCGCGCGCUCGCCGGCGCGCUGUCCCCGGCCGUCGCGGCGCUGCGGGGGCUCCGCGUGCUCGCUCUCCCGUCCCACGCGCUCUCGGGACCGCUCCCACCCGCGAUCUGGUCGCUGCGCCGCCUCCGCGUGCUCGACCUCUCCGGCAACCGCCUUCAGGGCGGAAUCCCCGCGGCGCUCGCCUGCGUCGGCCUCCAGACGCUGGACCUCGCCUACAACCAGCUCAACGGCUCCGUGCCCGCGGCCCUCGGCGCGCUCCCUGGACUGCGGCGUCUGUCACUUGCCUCCAACCGCUUUGGCGGCGCCAUCCCUGACGAACUUGGUGGCGCCGGGUGCCGCAGCCUGCAGUUCCUCGACCUCUCCGGGAACCUGCUCGUCGGUGGCAUCCCCCGGAGCCUGGGCAACUGUAGCCAGCUGGAGGCGCUGUUGCUGUCCUCCAAUCUGCUGGAUGACAUUAUUCCGCCGGAGAUUGGUCGGCUCAAGAACCUGCGGGCUUUGGAUGUGUCUAGGAACAGUUUGAGUGGGCCUGUGCCAGCGGAGCUUGGUGGUUGUGUUCAGCUGUCAGUGCUUGUGUUGUCCAAUCCUUAUGCGCCUCUUGGUGGUUCGAAUUCGUCCGAUUAUGGGGAGGUCGAUGACUUUAACUACUUCCAAGGAGGGAUUCCGGAAGCUGUUGUGGCGCUGCCGAAGCUGAGGGUGCUAUGGGCGCCAAGGGCUACAUUGGAGGGAGAGUUGCCGGGCAAUUGGAGUUCUUGCCAGAGCUUGGAGAUGAUGAAUUUGGGGGAGAAUCUGUUGUCUGGUGGGAUUCCUAAGGACCUGGUGGAAUGUGAGAAUCUGAGGUUCUUCAAUUUGAGCUCGAACAAGCUUACAGGUUCAGUCGAUCCUUCACUGCCUGUGCCUUGCAUGGACGUAUUUGAUGUCAGUGGAAACCAGUUAUCUGGUGCGAUUCCAGGAUUUAUCUCAAAGAAUUGUCUUUCAUCCCAGUCCCCAUUGGAUGACUUGGUGUCAGAGUAUUCUUCCUUCUUCACAUAUCAAGCGCUUGCUGGCUUUGUGUCAUCAUCAUUACCGUUGGGCGUGCAUUUGACAAGCUACCAUAGUUUUGCCCGAAACAAUUUUACUGGCUCAGUUACAUCCUUGCCGCUUGCUGCUGAGAAGUUGGGGAUGCAGGGGUCCUAUGCAUUCUUGGCUGAUGGGAAUCGUCUUGGUGGUCAGCUUCAGCCUAGCAUAUUUGACAAGUGCAACAACUCAAGGGGCUUUGUUGUGGAAGUCAGUGACAACUUGAUAGCUGGAGCUAUUCCUGCAGAAAUUGGCUCGCUGUGCAGUUCUCUUGUUGUUCUUGGUAUUGCUGGUAAUCAGCUUUCAGGUGCGAUACCAUCAAGUAUUGGGGAGUUAAGUUACCUUGUCAGCUUGGAUUUGAGUAGGAAUGGCCUUGGUGGUGAAAUUCCUACUUCUGUAAAGAAAUUGCCGCACUUAGAGCGCCUCUCUUUGGCCCAUAACCUUCUGAAUGGCACCAUUCCAGCUGAUAUCAAUCAGUUGCAUGCUCUCCGGGUUCUGGACCUGUCAUCAAACCUCCUCACAGGGGUUAUCCCUGAUGCCCUUGCUGACUUGAGAAAUCUCACUGCACUCCUCCUUGAUAACAAUAAACUUACUGGGAAGAUUCCUUCAGGAUUUGCUAACUCAGCAUCCCUUGCCAUGUUUAAUGUGUCAUUCAACAAUUUGUCUGGCCCGGUGCCAACGAAUGGGAAUACGGUUAGAUGUGACAGCGUUAUUGGGAAUCCUUUACUGCAAUCUUGUCAUGUGUACACUCUGGCCGUGCCCUCAGCUGCUCAGCAGGGUCGUGGUUUGAACUCGAAUGGCUCCAAUGACACAACACCUACAGAUGCACAAAAUGAAGGAGGGAACAAUGCAUUCAAUGCAAUUGAAAUAGCUUCUAUAACUUCUGCAACAGCCAUUGUUUCUGUCCUCCUUGCACUGAUCGUGCUCUUCAUAUACACAAGGAAGUGCGCUCCCCGGAUGUCAGCUCGGUCUUCUGGAAGAAAGGAAGUUACAAUUUUCCAAGAUAUAGGUGUGCCGAUCACUUAUGAGACUGUUGUUCGAGCCACUGGAAGUUUCAAUGCGAGCAAUUGCAUUGGAAGUGGAGGCUUUGGAGCCACUUACAAAGCUGAAAUUGCACCUGGAGUGUUGGUAGCUAUCAAGAGGCUCUCAGUCGGGAGAUUUCAGGGAGCCCAACAGUUCCAUGCUGAGAUAAAAACCCUAGGGAGAUUAAGGCAUCAAAAUCUUGUUACCUUGGUAGGUUACCAUCUUGGCGAGUCUGAAAUGUUUCUCAUAUAUAACUACUUAUCUGGAGGAAACCUUGAGAGGUUUAUACAGGAGAGAUCCAAGAGACCAGUGGACUGGAAAAUGCUGCACAAGAUUGCAUUGGAUGUUGCAAAAGCACUUGCUUAUCUGCAUGAUACCUGUGUUCCUCGUAUCCUUCACCGGGAUGUGAAGCCAAGCAAUAUUCUGUUGGAUACUAACAAUAAUGCUUAUCUCUCAGACUUCGGACUGGCGAGACUCUUGGGAAAUUCAGAAACACAUGCAACCACUGGCGUAGCUGGAACAUUUGGAUAUGUCGCUCCAGAAUACGCCAUGACUUGCCGUGUUUCAGAUAAAGCUGAUGUGUAUAGCUACGGCGUUGUCCUGAUGGAGCUAAUUUCAGACAAGAAAGCCUUGGACCCAUCAUUUUCUCCCUAUGGUAAUGGGUUCAACAUAGUUGCUUGGGCAUGCAUGCUGCUUCGUCAAGGCCGUGCACGGGAAUUCUUUAUUGAUGGUCUGUGGGAUGUUGGCCCCCAUGAUGACUUGGUAGAGACAUUGCAUUUAGCAGUGAUGUGCACUGUUGAUUCGCUCUCUAUUCGGCCAACUAUGAAGCAGGUCGUCCAGCGGUUAAAGCAACUACAGCCCCCAAUUCGUGAACAUCGAUAGAGAUGAAUAAUUUACACAUUCCACAUGUAGAAGAAGGUAAAGAUAGCCGUGACCUGCGCCGUUGAUGAUUUUUUUUUUCUAAUCAUCUGUUUGACUAGAUUUUAUCCUGUAGAUGGCAGCUUUGUAUAAUAUAGUUUUCUCCUGAAUCUCACUAAUGUAUCUGCUGAUAAGAAGAGCAGGUGUAAAUUAACAAUUUUAAUGCCAAAGAUUUCAGUUAAGAUUGCCUUACUGUAUUAUUUUAUUAUUCUCUCUAUAGUGUAUCCGGUGCAUUAGUGUUUAGUCUGUACAUGCCCAAUCACCAUAUGUAAGCAGUAUCAACUAUCUGCAUGGAAUUAGCGUACUGGACAUUGCCUUGGGAGAAGUUCAUUAACUUCCACGUGCGGUCAUAUUUCAACCAGUUCCUUGACAGGUCUUCUAUCGUUCUAUGGCUUGCAUUUUUUAAAUCUGAAUUAUUUAUAUGAAGGUCAAAGUUAUCAUGUGACCAAUUAAUCUAACAAGCAGAGCUCAUACGUGUAUCAAAACAGGGAAUGCUGAAACAUUAAUCAUGAAGGAAAUCCUUGUGCACGCAUGUGCUCUUCCUCUAAAUUUCUGCACUUUUGGAAUGGUGACACCACCGCAUUAUGUUUGGCAUUGCUAGGCUCUUACUGCUACUGUUUUGUAUAUGUAUGUCAUAUAACAAAGUGUAUCAACUGUCAUCCUGAAUCUGCUGAGCUGUCUAAAGUAAAGAAAAACGAUCAGCAUAUACUGUCUAUGUUUUCUUUCUGAAGUCGCUGAAGGGUUCUCAGAAUUUCAACAUCAGGAAUGCUGAAUGCAUUGCACCUGUUAUAGUCUGUACUCAAAACCCAUUCAUAUGUUGAUUCAGGCUUUUAUUUUGUACUAACUAUGCAAAUUCAAAGUACAGAGGACUGUUUCGGUACCUACUCAUCUAUGGAAGUUAUACAGAGGACUGUUCUAUGCUUUGCUGUGUGUGCAACUGCAACAUGCACAGGUUCAUCAGGUUUUUUUGGAUGCCUGUUUGUCUUGACCACUCUAUCCUAUUGGCACACUGCACAGCUCAAUUUGCUGAAGGUCAGAGAGUUCUUCAUGACGAUCAUGUGAAACAAGAUAGAGAUUCAUGCAAAGUUAAAAGGGGAUCACUGUUAGCACGAUGAACGGAUAAGAGGUAGCUCUGGUCCAAAUAAAAAACAAUAUAUGGCCAUUGCAAAAUCCAAGGAAUUGUCCCUACACUGGAAACAAGAGUACUACAUUCUGGAUGAAAGAACCAGCUACCGGUCAGUAACUGAACUAAGCCAGUGUGUAUCCUAGUGACCCCCUAACCUCACGCUACGAAAUCACGAUCAGUCUUUCUUCUUGGCCGUCCACUCCUGGAACCGGCGGAGGCUCGCCGGGAAGUCGGUGAAGAGCCCGUCGACGCCAACGUCGUUGAUCCAGUAGUCGUACUCGGCGUAGGGGUCCUGCCUGAAGUUGAAGUGCAGGAACUUGUUCUCGUUGCGGUACGUGUAAGGGUGCACCUGCAGCCCUCGCGCGUGCGCCAUGGCGACGAGGUCCGUCGGCGUCGCCAGCCGGUUGUCCUUGGUCGGCGGCACCACCGUGUCCUUCCAGGGCCCGAUGCCGACCACGUACUUGCUCAUGUAGUCCAGGUACUCGCCGGAGGUGAUCUCGUCGUAGGACUGGUUGGUGUCCUCGGUCCGGACGGUCACGUCGUCGAUGAGGAAGAUGAGCGGCGAGUCGGUGAGGCCGGCGGCGCGGACCAGAGAAGUCGGCGCGAAGGACUGGACGAACACCGGCUUCGCGCGCCACGCCGGCGACAUGUACCUGCCGCCGUACCCGUACUUCUUGAGCGUCGCGACGAACUUAUCCUCGUACCUCUUCCCGUCCGCCCAACGGACGUGCUUGUUCAUGAACGCCGGGUUCUUCAUCUCCGGGUAGAUCCCCACCACCCUCUUGGCGUUCAGCGCGAUGUCGAUGAACUCCUCGAACGUGAUGAUCGGCGAAAUGCCUGCGGUAACAAAAAAAACCAGAUUGUCGGUGAACAUUGUUCGCCGGAAAUGGCGAUUGGAUCGCCGGUCGGGAAGCCGGACGCGCCGCUCACCGUCGUGGGACUUGUCGCGGAAGUCCCAUCGCUGCUUCGCCCUCAGCGUCUUCAGCUCCGCCAGCGUGAAAUCAGCUGCAAGAAUAUAAUCAAGAACAGAACAGAUGCUUCGGAUUAUCCACUCGAUGGUUCCGAUCAACACAGCGGUAUGAAGAAAUCAAAUCACUGUACUGCAUUGAAUGAUCACGGGCGGUGUGAACUGUGCACGUACUGAUGAAGUAUCCGGUGACGUUGGCCCACUGCACCUCGAGCGUGCGGCGGCGUCCGGCGAACUCCGGGUGGUCGGCGACGUCGGUGGCGUCGUCGAGCGUGGUGUCGUGGAAGCAGACGAGGUGGCCGUCCCUGGUGGCCUCGAUGUCCGCCUCGAUGAAGUCGGCGCCCUCGUCGAUGGCGCGCGCGUACGCCGCCGCCGUCUCCUCGGGAAACUCGCCGUUGGAGCCCCGGUGCGCGAUGUUGAAGGGCCGCGACGUCUGCAGCGGCGCCCUGCUGUCCCCCCACGCCCCGCCUCCACCUUCCCCGACCAGCGGCCGUGCCGCGACGACGCUGGACGCGACGGCCGCCGCCGCCACCAACACGGCCGCGACCACCCCUGCACGCAAGAUUGAUUAGUAAUGCAACGAUGUAUCAAGAUCGUAUCGCGCCACGGUGAAGGCCAGGAGAUCGUCGUGUGCACGUACGGAGGGAUGCCAUUUCCGGCGGCGCGAUCGCUGCUGUUGGAGGGGAGGAGGUGGACUGGGCUGCCGCGACGGCGAGUGCUAUAUAAGCGGAGGCGUUGCGGCGCGGGGAAUAUUCCAGCGGGAUUUGUGUCAAUCACCGUUAAUCUGGUGCGUGUUUAUUGGAGAUGAUGAUAUCUUCCAAGAGAUUAGCAUCGGGGAGGAACGUGUUGGGCCUAGGGAUGAUCCUGCAGUCCACAGGUGGCCACUGAAAUGGGCCCAUCUAAAAUGCCGUCAGAGAACACGCACACCAAACUGCUGCACUGUCCCAACACCGAAGCCCAAGCAGGCCCGCAUCGGCCGAGCCACGCGUCCGACCUUCGCGGCUGUUCGGCCGAGAGAGAAAUAUCGUCGCCGGAGCUGUGACGAGGACGGCGGUGUGUCCGAGAAUCAACGGCUGGGGUGACGUCACCCCAGCCCACCUGUCUGGAACUGCAGCGAUCAACUUUUCCAUGGUUGCGUUGCGUCGUCCUACAGCAAUCAUGGAGGCCUGCCACCUUGGGCAGCAGUACAAUUCACAGGGAUAGGGUGGCCAUUUCUGUCGCGCUCUCUUCAGUCCCCGUCCUGCAAACGCUGCAACGACGGUGACUCGAUGAGCGAGUGAAAGUGAAACUGCACAGCGAGUCAGCGACAGGAAACCAGCCGGGUGUGCCUCAACUGAACCAGCAUCCAUUUCGGACAUUGUUAACCUCAAGAUCCCUCCAAUUCGCUCACUCUCUUAACUUACAGGUUACAGCAGUAUCCAGCUCGCUAACAUAAUUAACUAAUCAUAUGAUUACCAAGAAACGAAAAAGAAAAAGUUUAAGCUUCUGCUUCUGUCUGCUCCUCAAAAAAGUUUAAGCUUCUGCUUCUGGCCCCACUGCUCAAAAAGUUUAAGCUUCUGCUUCUGCCUCGUGCUCAGAGGGUUUAAGCUUCUACUGUGCCUGCCUCCUCUGACAUCUCCCCCUACAUUUACUUGCACCGGACGAAGCAGAAGCAUGCCCCACUGCUCAAAAAGUUUAAGCUUCUGCUUCUGGCUCCUGCUCAAAGGGUUUAAGCUUCUCCUGUGCCUACUUCAUCUCAUAUCUCCCCCUAAAAGGGUUUACAUGUACCAGCAGAACCAUGCCCGCCGCCAUCACAAGAACACCGACUGCUGAGGGUUGACGACGAUAUGCCGCAGCGGGUUGGUGACGUCGCCGCCGCCGGCGUGCCGCACGAACUCCGCCGGCGUCAGGAAGUUGCCGUGGCAGACGCAGACUAUCCUGACCUCCUCGCCUUUCCUGUACUUGUACAGGAAGCCGUCGGUCUUGCGGCCGCUGGGCCCCUCCACCUUGUAGGAGACCAUCGGCAUGUCCUCCACCAUGCUGUUGCGGAGGUCGCCGGUGCUCGCCGUCCGCAUCGUCAGCGACCGCAGCGUCCGCAGCGGCGGCUGCUCGCGGCCGGUGGUGCCGUUCGAUGGCCUCCCGGUUCCUGACGCCGUUGGGGGCCUGGAGCUGCUCUGCCCACCGGAGGUCUCCGCCGUGUUCAUGGCAGGAGGGCUCUUCGCCUCUGCUCCACUACCUGCUGAUGCUACAAGAACAGAGAGGCACAAGCUUUCAGAUUCAAAUGAGAUAACCUGCAUUAGCUGCGGUGAGACGAACUCUGACGUGUGCUAGUGUUUCAAUAUAUAUGAAUGUGAAUUUCUAUCAUAAUGAACUUUGCCCCAAUGGACAAUGCAUAAAGGUAGUAGGGUAGUACUAGACCAUACACACCAGCCCAGACAAUGAUUAAUCCCAUAAUCACACUUAUGGCUACCUAAUGACUCAACUUGCCUAUCAUUGCAGAUGCUGAUUAACUAUAUAUGGUCUAAGCGUCCAGCCAUAGCGUAGCAUCUCUGUAAAACUAACGUGCACAUCAAAGAAUUCUGUAACUGACAGCAAUGGAAGGAAACUAGUAGCUACCAGCCAAAAACAUGAGGGAUCAUGUCCCAGGGCAUCAUCUUUGUCAAAAAUAGUUCCGCAUUACUACUGCAAGAGCAAAUUCCCAAAACGAUGAAACAAGAUGACUAGGACAUGACAUGGAAAAUUCCUACGGCAUGAAGGUCGUGCAAUCCAUCCCUACAUGACUAGUACACUUCUUUCCGGUAGCAUCAAUAACAAAAUGGUUAGCUACUUCUAAACAGGGGGGAUCAUCAAGAACAGGUAAUAAACACAUCGCAGGUACAUGUCAUCAGAACAGCAAACGAGAUCACAAACCCACAGCUAAAGAUCCAUGUCUGAUGAUGAAACCUGCUUCACCUAGAUCUCUCUGCUCAGACAUCGGACAAUGAGACAUCUCGUACUGAGUACCUAACGGAACCCAACCCAACCCAACCCAAGAAAAUCUGUCCAUGCAUCAUCAAGAAGUAUCAACCAAGAAAACGAAAUGAAACGGAUAAUUGUGCUGGACACGCGCAAUAAAACAGUGGAGAUUAGCAUGCUGUUAUACCUUGCUCCGGCACGCUGGACGAGGUGGUCCCCUGCAAGGCGACCGUGCGCCGGAACUGGAAGCCGCUGGGCACCGUCUGCUCCAGGGCUUCGUCGCGGCAGACAGCAGCGCUAGCGUUGGUGCCCGACCUGCCGGAGUUCAUGGAGUUCCGGCGCUCGAGGCGCUUGCGCUUGGCCUCGAGCCGCCGCUGGCUCUGCAUCGCGCGGCGGCGGAGCCGGUCCUCCAUGUACUCGGUGGGCAGCGAGGAUGUGCGGAGCAGGUCCGACGGCGGCGCCGUGACGGCGGCGGGUUCCUCGCCGGAGGGGAAUCCGCCGGGCAGCGAGCAGAUCGAGGGGAUGGACGUGGACCGCACAAGGCGCGGCUUCUUCGCCUCGUGCGCCGGGUCGGCGCCGAAGCAGCCGCCGAGGGACAGACCGAGGCUGAGCUCGAUGUCGUCCGAGUCGACGGUGGCGGCGCUUCCACCGCCCGCAGCCGGUGCUCCUCCAUCCCGCCCGAACCUGCCCAGGAAAUCCCUCGACGCCAUCUGUCCCCUCCGGGCUCCAAUCCCUCCCACGGAUUGACCGAGGAGGAACGCUUCUCAAUGACCAAAAAUUCAGCUACAGAGAACACAGCAACCGAUUACGCUCUCCGGCUCAUCAAAGCACCAAACAGAACCAGAUUUUUUUCAAAAAAGAAAAGGAAACACCCCACACGCCACGAGUUCCACCGUCAACACAGAAUUGACAUCCCGCAUGCCCCAAGCAUGUAACAUUGCAGCAGGCAGCAACCGGCGCCCUCUGCCCCCCGAAUCCCACACCGAGAAAUCGGGAGAACAGUGGAACAGACGCGGCGAAACGAAGCGGAAUUCGAGAGACCAGAUCCCUCACCGUGAGCGGAACCAGGACGACUAAGGAGGCGAGCCGAAGCGGAGAGCAGAGGCGACCUCGGUGCCUGCCUCCCUCUAAUCUCCUUCGCUCUUGCGCCCCCCGCUAACAAAAAAAAUAGGGAGGGUUUUCGCUGAAUUUUUUUCCGGCGAAAAUGGGGAGUGGAAAUUGGUUUUUGUAGUGGGGGGGAGGACUGAGGAGGCGGAGGUUCGUCGGAUGGGACUACGAGCGCACGGCACCCGGACACGUGUCGGACAAUGCGCACACGUGUUGGGCCGCCACGAGCCGAGCCGGGGCAGGGGCUGCGCCGGCUCGGCUCCGGCGCGCUGCCGUGGGGGCUUAAAAUAGUGUGACGUGUCGAAGGCGCGGUGGGGCGUUGGGCCUGACAUGUUUCGGGAGGUUUCCUCGGGCUGGAAAAUAUCAAGUGUACAGUACUAGCAUCCUUCUAGAAAUGCUGAGCUAAAUAAGAAACCUUAUGAAUAUACUGCUAAAUAAGGCAAAAUUAACGUAAAUUAACCGUGUCAUGUGAGAAUUUCUUUUUCUUUUCUGACAAAUCUGGUGCUGCUGGUGCUUUUCGACCAAAGAGCGGUAAUUUGUUGUUGUUUCUAUCUCGCUGAAUUUUUGGGGAUUGAGAACAGUUCAUGCUCCGAGAAUCGGUGGAAAGAAGUGAUCUUUUUGGAGGAGGUGGGCACAUGGGUGCUUCCACAUGGUUGUACACAGUUUUUGGAGGCUACAUGUUCACCUUAUACAUAAUUACAAUACCGACGAAUAUCUGCGAUCGAAAUAAAUCAUGAUUUUUUUAAAAAAAAAUGUACAAGGUGAAAUUAAUAAAAUAAGAAAACACGCAAGAUAGUGAUACGGUAGAUCUAGCUAUGACGAGUAGAAUCAAUAAUGAUUGCGCAUAUGAACAACACUAGUUGUGGCAAUAAAAGAUAGAUCGGACUGAUGGCUGAUGGAUCAAAACAAAAAGAGGCGUUAGCGUACAUCUAAUUUUAUUGAAAAAAUAAUUAUAGUAACUUUAAAGAGAAGAGGAUACAUAGACACCAUACCGAAAUAGGGCAAUUAUGCCCAUACGAUGUUGUGAGUAGGAUGGCCAUGGAGGUGGCCUUCGAGGAAGAACAUACGAGGCCACCAUGAGCCGAUAGGAAUUACAAAUAUCACCGAAGUCGAGCAUCAUCCCACGAUAGCAACUUUAAAGAAGAAUAAAGAAAGAUCUCACAACUGUUGAAUAGGUUGUGGAGCUAUUAGAUCCAUUGUCACUGAGCUACACACCAUGAAGGGCGGAAUAGCCAUGAGAAUGCUAUAGGAGGAUUAGGUGCUUAGCAGGAUGGGUUGGAGUAGCCAAGCGGCCGAAGUGGUAUGAGAAUGGAGGGGUGUGGCGAAAUAAAUAGCAAGACGGGAUGUAACGGACAAACCAAACUACGUAAGCGCUGACGUCUUUUCGCAUCAAUACGUAAGCACUGACGUCUUCUCGCAUCAACACGUAAGCACUUAUGUCACAUAUAGUAAAGAAAAAUAAAAGAUGCACUUAUGUCACAUAUAGUAAAGAAAAAUAAAAGAUACAGUACAUGUUGGUAAUGGCUCCUCUCCGCUUCAACUCCAUGGUAAGAAGGUUUCACUGGCUUCUACCAUUUCCCAUGUCAUUUUCCUCUCUAUUUGUUAAAUACCUCCUUGUAACAAAAAAAACCAAUACUGCUACUAUGCAGACUUUAGAACAUCAAAAGGAAUUGUCGAAGAUGGAAGUUGUCCCAAACACGCCCACAUAUUGACUAGAACUUUGAAUCUUAAUGAAAAGACGAUAUAUAACUAACUCUCAAUAAAAUCUAAUUAAGAAAUAAACGGUUUAUCAAUGUUGUUUAUACUUUCUUAUAUGUAUAGUAUGUACUCCACUAUCAAAAUGUGUUAGUUAAAAUGUGAAAACUAUUCUUUUGUAUAGAUAUACUUCCUCCGUUCCAAAAUAUUUACACCUCUACAAUUUAAAAUUUAUCCCAAAAUAUUUACACACAUAGGUACAAGAUCUAAGAUUCUAGAUUACCAGGUGGACCAGCUCACAGGAAAAAAGAUCGACUUGUAUAACCUCCGUCUGGACUCUGGACGCUUUUCAACCUCUCGUCCGCCAUCAACCGGUGUUAAAAGAAUAGAUGAUGCUUCCAGAAAUCCUUCCGCCUCUGCAUGGAGCUGCAGCACAGUGCGGUGCAGUCACCGAAGUCAACGUGAGCGAAUUUCUUAUAGAGGCAGCAACGUCAUUUUAAUAACUGUCUUGAUUUUCACACUGAACUUUGGAAAUGCAUGAAGGAGGGAGCAUAGAAGAUUCAUCGAUGUGCAAAACGCAACAGCCAACAGUCUUAGUAGAACACCCGGCCAUUAACCAGACACCAUUACAGAAAUUUUGAAAAAAUAAACAGCCACGUCCCGUUUACUCAACUGACCGGCUCGGUUCGGCUUGGCUCGCGGCUGGGCUACACGAGAGGCGGCUGGCUCCUCAGGGACCACUCCCCUAGGAUGCAGGCAGGCAGGCCAUACGGGCUAGCCUGCAACUGGCACCCAACUAAACAGCUGUAACUUGCCGCGGCGCUGGGCCCCACACGCGUCGCGCGGGGCCUACGCAGCAGCCACACGUCUCAGGCAUCCGCUUUAAACCCGCGGGGCCCGCGCAGGGACGGGGGCUACGUGUGUGCGCAGGGCGCCGCAUCGCUCGCCACGUGCCGCUUCCCGGCCCGGGGCGCGCGGGCCCCAUGACAGCUCACUGCCCCCGAGGCCAACUUGCCGGGUCGCCAGGCGGGCCCUCGCGCUGGACGCCGCAGCCCUGCCCUUGUAUCAUGACGCGUGGGUCUCGUGCGUUACGGGCCCCACAGGUCAGCGGGGUGAGGUGGCCCGCGCUGUGUUGCGGCUGCGAGAGAUGGCGUGCGGGGCUGCUAGGGUAGACCCACGUCUACUACACGCCUCGUUCACAUUGAAUGACACGCGGGUCCGUUAGAUACCCGGCCCGCAAAUCAGUGGGCCCGGUUGUCGCGACGCCUGCGGUUGGAGGGAGACACGUCACGCCUGGUAAUGUGACGGCGACGUACUGGCGCGCCGCAUCCACGUGUCGGGCUGCGGCGGGCAGGGCCGAACGGACGGCAGCGAUGGUGCCCUGCUGUCCCCAGGAGUGGGCCCCGCGCACAAGUGGAUGGCGGAUAGUGUUUGCUUGCGGCCCCACGGUGGUAGAGGCGCGGAUCGUCUGCGGGCAAGGCCAAUGUUUCAGUCAGCGGUAUACAUUUUAUAGCUAUAGCGAGGACUAUGUGCUAUGUAGUUUUAAAUAGUGUUAAGUAAUAUACUCAAUCCCUGAUGAAAAUAAGGUAUCUAAAUAUUUAAAAUCUGCCUCCAAGUAUAAAAUAUUAUAGGUAUAUUUGGAUAUCGGUUAUUUAAAUCUCUGCCAAAAUUCUCUUCAACCGAGUUAAUGACGUGAAAAAAUUUUUGUCUCUAACAAUCUCCUAUAAUAGAUGUAUUGAGUUAAUGACAUGCAAAUAUGGCUUUUAAACCAUGUGCCAUCCAUUUUGUGGGUCUUGACGUUUGCCAAUUGACAAUCAAACAAGACACUUGUGAGAGGCAUGGUAGUCUUUUGCUAAUCUCUUUAGUCUGUCUUGAAAUUGCUAGUAUACAUAAUAUUUUAGGAUGAAAGGAGUAUGAAACAACAAAUAUGUGUGAUAUGUAGGUACAACAAAUAAGAAAAAAUAAUUUUAAAACCACCAAAGUACUUACAAAUUGGUUGUAACUAUAUUCUUAGAAUCCAUAAAUAUCAAAUAUGUAGACUAGGAUACUGAGAGAGAGAAAGGUUGGACGUUUUGAUACUUUUUUCUCCAAGCGUAACCUUGUAAUAUUAGGUACUUUUUGUUAGUUUUAAGUUUGAAUUAAUAAUAUUGUUUGUUCUACGUGUAGAAAUGCCAUGAACAACUACAAAGCUAUGAAAUGAACCUUAGAAGAGGAUGGAGAAAUGAAACGGUACAUCUGAUGUGCAGGGGACACAUUCGUCUUUAGGCCAAAGCAAGAGAAAAGUGUCAUAAGUAUCGUGUGUUUAUUGUUUCUAGCAGCAAAAUAACUAGAUCCGUCUUACAAUCCACGCAAGAUAUAAGUUGAUGUAAAUGUGGGAAUUGAGACGAACAUAUAAAUGGGUCACCUUUCGUGAUCAAAUUUUUUUUGGAUUUACUCCCUCCAUAGAACAGAUUAACAAGGAGGUAAAACGACUUCAAUUACCCUCUAUUUAUUAGCUAUAUUUGACGUUAAUUGAUUGCUGCAUGCCCACAUGCACAUGCAUGCACGCCAAAUUGAGUAUAACAAUUUAUUUUCGGGAUAAAUUUUGAAUCGUAGAAUAGCUUGUUUUUGGGACAGGGGAUCGUCAUUGCAGGAGCUAGUAAAGCAUGUUGCUAGUCCAACCAUGCAUGGUAUGUAGCAUGAACUCAAUAUAACAAAAGUACCAGUUUAUCCGGAUAAGCAUAUAAGCUCCAAGCAUCUGAACAUGAAGCACCCACAAUUGCUGACCGAUCAUCUAGGCUUCUACAGCAUCAAUGAUUGCCGAGCAAGGUGCACACAGAGAAACCACAACCACAGCCUCAUGGAGCACGCCAAGUGCCACAGACUUGCCGUCCGCAGGCGAUCCAGCGAAUCCGCGAGGCGGGGAGCAGAAUCUUGGGUAUAUCGCUUUUGUACGAUGUUGGCCACAGGGAGAGAGAGAGGGGGAAAAAAAUCUCUGGGUCGGCGAUUUGACGCUGUCCGAUUGAAGCGCCCAAUAAUUAACUCCGCCGUGUCUUGCCGCGGCUGGGUUGGGUUGGUCGCGGCAAGUGGUGUGCAGGCAACGGGGACGCCGGGCUCGGCUAAACUAAUGGGAUUGGCUUAUUGUAGCAAGCGCGGAGGUUGCUUUCUGACGCUACCGUGCUACGCUAACGCUAGCGUUGGCGGCAUCUUGCUGUGAUUUGAAUAUAAAUAAAUAAAUAUAUAUAUAUACACACACGCACAUUGGAAUAAUAAGUGACACUGAUGGCUAAAUUCUUUGGAGUUUUAUACUUUUAUGUGCCUAAAUAAACAUGUUGAGCGUGUCAAUGCUUUAGAGUUUUGGAGGGAUUCCGCGUUCCACUGAGCGUUUGCAAAUGUUCCUUUAAUAUAUAGUCUCACUGAUAUAUGGGCUUGCCUAAUUCCAACAAGUUAUCAAUAGAGGCGUGGUGUUCAUGUAAUCAUGUGAUAGUGAUCAUAACUUAGAGACGUAUAUGUUUCAGUGGUCGACAAAAUACUUACUACUGCACAACUCGACGAUAACGACCCAAAUCCAACAAAAGAUACCAUCACACGACAUAAGUUUAUCCAUUGUAUUUAUUUGUCGACAAUGACGGUGAUGUUUACCGUAGCUAGCUAGCUCUCUCUAUAUAGCUGCUUUAUUUAUUAUCAGUAUAAAUAAAUAAAAAGGGGUAGAUCCAACACGCAAACUAGCUAGCUAGCAAUUGGCCACAAAUCGUUGGACAGCCAGCGGCCAGCGUCUGAAAAUAAAGCGCAAGUUGCCAUGCGAUCCUUGUUGCAUCGAUCUCGCGCGCCGUAGACCAACAACACUAAUCCCUGCUGUUAAAUUAAUCCCCAACUUGCAGCUCGUGAUGAAGUACGUUAACUAGCGCUAAGCACUGCACUAACUGAUCACCAUCAGGAGGAGCAAGUGGUGGGUCACGCUCACGCGUGUACACAUGCCAACAAGGAGAAAUAUUUCUUUUCUACCUGUAACUAAAAGGUCAACAACAGAAACACACUGACGAUCGUGCAUGAGGCUUUUGGUUUGGCGAAACCAGCUCUCGGUGGGAGGAGGAGCAACCGGUCCCACUGUCAUAGAGAGGGUACGAUCAGAUGAGUAUAGCUAGCUUUCUGGCACAGUUUUUUUUUUUUUUUUUUGCUGAUCACCGAUAUAGUACGAGUGUGUUAGCUACAGAUCUGCCAUUGGUAAACGACCUGAUCCUUAGUUAGAAAAGUUGCUGAUGCUACGACAGGAUAUCGUAAUGAUUUCUACGUUUCGAGAGGGAAUCGAUCGGUGACCAAACUGACAAUCCCAUCGUCUGGUACGGAUUAAGUAGGGCCGACCAUACGUAUAUGAUCUCUGCAGAGGUACACGUAGAAGGUUCAAGGGUUACGUUGAUAGACUAUGCCCUGUCCGUACAUGCUCCAUGUGCAUCUCGCAGGGCGGAAAAAAGGUUCAGUGUGUUACGUGCGUUCAGUACUAUGCUUGUGCUAUGUAUGGUUGCAUUGCUAUAAAUUAAAGCAGCAGAGGCAUGUAAUUCUCCAGCGAGAUUUAAAAUGGGAGCUAACUGAACUUUGUAGCUCGUAGCUUGAGCAUUUCAGAUCCUAGAAAAAGUACACUACUAUCUGUUGGAUUUAACGUGGGCCAAGCCCAAUAUUUUAUCUAAUUAAAUCAAAUAAUUUUAAGGCCUGUAUUAAAUAUUGUGCGUACUAUCUGGUUUAGUAGCACAUGAGAAUUUGAUUGAAUGUUGACUUAUAUACGUGAAAUAUAUUUGCUUAUAUUGAGAAGUUGAGAAAAGGGUGAAGGCAUGCCACGCGCGCGUGCCGCUGCCGAGCUGUGGCGUGCCAUGCCUGCGUGCGGAGAGGAGCAGAGUUUUGCCACUCAAGUCAAUUAAUUCUAGUAGCUUCUAAUGGAAAGGAGUUUCUGAAGUUUAAAGCUGGUGGAAUGGUAGUGUCUGCGGGGUUACAAGAGUUACUUCCUCCGUAAUUGCUGACUCCUCGAGAGGUUACGAGAGUUACUUCCUCCGUGACUGCUGACUCCUCCGUUCAGCUUCUGCCCGUGAGAAUAAAAGGAGAACUCCUUCAACAUUAUAGGGAGAGCAGGCCUUCGGAACCAAACCGUCUACGAGUUCAUCCGCUCGUCGGACCACAUCUGCUUCCACUGCAUCGACAGGAACAACUACAUCGACAGAAGCUAUGAACGGCACUGCUGGGUAUGCUACCGUUACACUUUAUAUUCUCAUUUUAGCACUGAUUAGUAUUGUCUACAUGUUCCUGAAGCAUCCAAACACAGCACAUAUUUGAUGUCACAAACUUGGUAGUAUUUUUCUGGAUUAAAUUAGUACUGAAACUGUCUAGAUCUCUAACACCAUCUAGGAUUAAUUAUGUUUCAAACCUUUAGCAUUUGAAGAGACACUGUUUCCCAUUAUUAAUAAUCACUACGAUCAUGAAGGUACUAUUUCAUACUCUCAUAUACGCAUACUCCAACAACUAUACAACAUCACACAUAUAUGGUCGAGCUGUGUGUAGCAUGCAUUAUUCCUUUAUAUGUAAUGUAAUGUUAAGGAAUACUGCAUCUUCAUUGCGAUUCUCCCUCCAAAUCCAAACAUCUUGAACGACCCCAGUCGAGAAUUGGAACCACGAGUAGUAGGACGUUUCAAAGUGGCCUGGUCCUACCGUGUGCUUACUUCCAAACCCAUUUCUUAACAAGGGAACGCAAAUUGGUCCACGUCAAGCCCAUCAACUUCACAUCAUUAAACCCUCAAGCAGGCAAAAAAGUAGGAGGUGGGGCCGGGGAGCAAACAGCCGAUACGUGUAAAAGCACAGAAAGGUCCACCCAGUACAUUCCUUGACCACAAGCGCAGAAAGCCCUCUUGCGCAACUUGGGAGCAGAAUAUUGCCCAGAAAUUGGAGCCUUUACAUCUCCUCUGCUACUUGCUGUUCCUUUCAUCCUCCCAGUCCCAGUACAUGCAUAUGCGUGAUAGUUUAUGUUAUCCACCGACCACUAUUCAGUGUCGCCACGACGCCAAAUUGCAUCGGCGUCAAAUCGCUUGGCCCCCUCGCUACGUGCAUGCACCUGGAGCCGAUACAAUACGUGCAACUUGCCGAUGUGGUGCUCAGGCCAUAAUUCAUGUGGUCGCACCUUGCAGAUUCCUUCGCUGUCUCAUGAUAAGUGUAUAAGUAUUAAGCUGGUAGGGCCAUGCUUGUACUUCUCGGUUCCGUUUUUUUUUAGCUUAAUUUCCUCGCUCCAAUAAUGUAACACCUAUUCCUUUAAAAAGAUUUCCAUAAUUUUUUUAUUUCUUUUAUCAUCAAAUGUUACAAACUCAAUUUUUCACAUUAAAAGUUGGUUAUUAUGAAUAUAUUUGCAUUGCGUAACUUCCAUAUACUAAUUUAAUUAACACUUAUUUCUUUAAAAGGAUUUCCAUAUUUUUUAUUUCUACCAUUAUCAAAUGUUAAAAACUCAACUUCAUAUUAAAAGGUCCAUUGGUUAUGAUGAAUCUAUUUGCAUCGCGUUACUUGCAGCUUCUACAUAUACUAAUUAAACACGAAUAUAGUUUGAUAAAACAUUUGGUAAGACUUACAUAGUUUGUUUUAUUUUUAAAUCAGAAUGCGUCUUACGGACAAAGGUGUAUUUCUUUUUUUUUUUAAAAAAAAGCGAACCAGGCAGGCAAAGGUGUAUUUCAUUGUAGUCAGCAAAGGACAAGUUAUUUUGGAGCGUUUGAUAUUGCUCGUCGUUGUUUGUGGGAGAAUAUGCAGAGAAAUGGGGGAUCCUAUAAUUUGUAAAAGAAAACGACAUGACAUUGCAGCGGGAGGUCAUGCCGGACGUUCGCCGCGGACCGCUGUCAUCCGCUUCUACUUCCGUGCAUGACGAAGCUGAAUGAUAGAAUUCUGUGCCGACGAGGACAUGGUAAUCGUUCAGGCACCACAGGUUCCGCCUCUCAUCAUUCUCUCGGCCGCUCUUUUUUCUCUUUCACUGAAAGCGGCGGACAGGGAGUGCAUGCACCGCACGGAGAGCAAGUUGCCGUGCGGCCGGCCGGCGGUCUAGCCGUGCAUGGAGUACUUGGCAACAUGACAACGACACGGGCACACACCUACACCAGGGGAGGAGGGAACGGGGGGAAAGGCGGAGGGGGAUCCGCGAAAUAUCUCGUGGCCGCGACGGGUCGUGUCGAUUCGAUGGCCGCGCAACGCAACCGCGGGCUUGGGAACAUGUGUCGCCCGCGGGGGACGAGGCGGAUCGCGGCCGGGAUUUGAUGCCGCUCCGCGACCCCGGAAAGGUCGUGAGUGAUGAGUGAUGGAUGCUGAGUUGGGGAAGCUUGCACGGCAGAUGCUCCCCUGUCUGCAAAGGUUGUGGUCAGCAGUAGCCCGGCCCAAAAUGGAUAAGAGCUUUGUUGUUCCCUCGACAAUAACAUUAGCAGUGCCCAGCUUUCGCCUCGACCGCCAAGGCGACAAGUGUGCACAAGCAGCCCAGCUUCCCUCAGGGCCAUAGGAGAAUAGGAAUAGUUAAGACACGCAGAUGAAAGAAGCAGAGUGAUCCAGCAACGAGCAACAAAGCACAGAAGUCAAAUCGCACAAUUGCUAUCUCCAGAUAAGCGCCCAACAUAGCCCAUGGGAUGGAAUUCAUAAAUGCAGCCCAUGCCGAAGUUUGUGUAAACCUGAUGCUCCUAGUUCCUAGGACACGUAAACAAAGCCGCUGCGAGAACACUCCUCAUUCGCUAACCUAAAAAAACACCCUCACUUCUACCCUCAAAAAACUCCUUCACUACUCCCAUGGGCUACAAAAUGACCAGUCUACGAAGCAACCGGUGUUGGUGUCUGUUGCUUGAGACCAUUGCCGCGCUCAGCCCUCCCGUUUCCAUUCCCAUUCCCAUUGUUGUAGGGGCGUCGCUGUUGAUUACCAUCGUUCUGGUGGUAGCCAUCGUUCUGAUGGUAGCCGUUCCUGUUCCGGUGGUAGCCGUUACCGUUCUGCGGGUAGCCAUUCCCUUGAGGCCCUCGGCCACGGUCUGAAUACUCGUUCUGGUUCCUGAAGUCGUUCCUCAUGUUACCACCACCGUUGUAGUAGCCAUUGUUCCGGAAGCCCUGUCCCCUGUAGUUGUCACCAUUGUAACCACCUCUGCCUGACGGGAACCGACUGCCAGCCCCAUUGUCGUCACAACGAGUGACAACACCAUCAACAACUGAAAUACAAAAGAAAGUAGCACAUCAGUUGAAUCAAACAGUAAUGAGCACAUAGUAGGAUAUUUGGCUGAAGCACAAUAUCUCACUCGUGAAAUGCACUCACCUCGGGUUUUAGUUCUUUUUUCCUCAACAUAUGAUUCCCAGGAGCCGAAAUAAACUCUAGAUUCCUAAAAUGGAAAUACAAGUAAAUACUAUGAACAAUCAGAUACUCAAAUUAUAUAAAACACUGCACAUAACACAUUCUCAGCAUAUUCAAGUUCACAUACAGUACUCCAGCUAAUCAAAACUACUUCAAUCAACAAUGACGGCAAAUGCAUAGUAAAACUGAAACCGAAACCAUGAAUGCAGCUGAAAAAAAUUUAAAAUUAAAUUGCAAAGUAUGCAGUCAACCCAGUCAAACUGGACAAGCAAGUAAACAAACCUCAAUUGCUGCUUGCAUGGAAUGUUGAGACUCAAAUUCAAUGAAGCCAAAACAGAACUGAUCAAGCUGCAGCAACAUGACCAGGAUGUCAGCAGGGAUACAAAUACAACGUGUGGAAACUAAACCAACAACUGAAACUAACCUGGUAUUUUCUGACUUGUAUACCACCAGGUUUAAUAGCACCAAACCUGCUAAACUCUUGCCCAACCAUUUCAACAGUUGCUUCAAAAGGCAAAUUCUUGACAAAAACUGAAUACCCUGGCUCUGCAGAAAAAGCUAGUGUUACAGUUCAGAAUAAUAAAAAUCCCACUUCUUCUAUUUGUAUUUUUUGAAAACACAGAAAAAGAACUAACCAUCAGGGGAUUUGGUUUUAGACACAUUCUUCUCGCUUGGGGGUGCAGUGUUAGUAGCUUGAGCAGGUUUUGAAGGUGAGGACACAGAUUUCUUCGCAUUUUGAUCCGGCUUUGGCCUUGGGCUGGGUUUGGGUUUAGCAGCAGGUGCAGGUGGUAUGCUCUCCCUGGUUGUCUUAACCUACAACCCAUCAACAGCAGGCAAUACACAUAAAUAUACCAUUACAGGCAUUACAUGCAAUUCUCCAGAUGGUUGAGAACAAACCAAACAAACUAAAUCAUAUUAGAUACUUCCAAUGGUGAAAAGUACAUGAAAUUAAGAAGAUAACUCACAAUUGAUGCAUAAGUCUUCUUAGGUACUUCCUUCUCAGCCGGAGGAGGAGCUUGAGUGGCCUCAGAUACCUUCUCAAUAUCCUUGUUAACCACUUUCACACAUGUCUCAACAACAGCAUCAUUUUUAACUUGAGAAACAGCAUUUGUAGAGGGACUAAUGACUUCAUCAUUGACAGGCAUUAUGUUUUCUGUAGGUGGAAUAUUUGGUUCUGUACUCUCCUUAAUUGAAACUGUUUCUGGUCAAAUAUUAAAAUGUGUCAGCAAAUAUGUGUAAGACAAACUUAAAUGUACUCGUACUCCAUUACCUGGCUCAGCUGGCAAGGUGGUACUCUGUAUGCUUACAUCAUCAUGGUUAGCUACAACUUCCUUCACCUCAGUUGAUGGCCUUACAAUUCUGAGCAUAUCAUUCAAAACAAAAUAGCCACUUCCUUGUGGAGCAAGAAAGAACGACUGUGUAAAUUUUUGUUUCACAGCAUCAAUAGUAAAAGAUCCAGCAACCAAAAUGAGCACCCCAUCCAGAUGGGAUGGCUGUGAAUCUACAGUCUCCAACUUUAUCAAACAGUCAGUGAAGUCUGUAGACUGAAGUUGCACUUUGAUAUCCUGCUCAAGCACAGAAAAUGGAUCAAACAUUCAGAACCAACCUAUGAAUUUAUUUAUUUGUCAAUACAAGCAAAGAUCAUGCUUAGGUGAUUACUAAUAACAGGUGAGUGCUUAAAAACCCUAAUUUCUUAUCGGCAUUCAUGACACAAUACUGCUAAUUUCUUAUCUGCAUUCAUGACACAAUACUCCUAAUUUCUUAUCAGCAUUCAUGACACAAUACUCUGUUCUCCAUCCAUCAAUGUAAAGCGUAUUUUAGUUUUCAAAAGUAACUUUCCAAAUUUUGGCCAACAAUAAUCAAAUUAUACCUGGGUCUAAUGUACAAAAGUUGCAUGAAUUAAAUGCAUCAAAGAGAAUUUUAAGAUGGUGUUGAUUUUGCAGCAAUUAACUUACUAUUACAACAGAUAAGGCCGACCUUCUAGUAAUAAGUUAUUACCGACAAAGAUAUUUUUAGCACCUUAAGUCACUUAUCACACACACAAACAGAUAGCCAUUGCCAAAGUGGCUUGUUCAAUUUAAAACGAUGAUUUAGUCAAGAUAGGAGAUAACAUCCGGUUGAUCAUAGUAAACGUGAAGCUUGCUGGCGGUACUAUCGCUAACAUUGAUGGAUGAUCAACUAUUACUAUUCUAUAAACAGGAUAUAAAAACUAUUCUAAACAGAGCAGAUACAAAAUAUAAGUCACGCAAGAAAAUCUCCUGAAAUUCAAAAAGGGCAACAAAUUUCAAGGGUCCACUAAAAGUAUCUGCAUCAUGAUGUUGUAAGGAACUUACAUCCAGUGUGGUUACCGAUAUGAUGUUUCCAUUAGAAUCUGAUCGACCAAGAAUGCUCGAGUCAUUAUAGAACUUAUAGGCAUCCUCUCGCAUGUAACGGAGAGUAUGGUAGUAUUUUUUGACAAAUGCACCCGCAACCUGUAAGCAGAACCAUCGUUAUUUUAAGUUCAAUAGUAUAACUAUUGCUAGUAGUAGAUUGUUAACUAAAGGGGCAAAAACCAAUACCACAUGUGGACUAUAAGGAGCAGCCGAGCUAUCAGCUUGCAUUGCCAUAUCUGCACAAGGUAGAUAAAUUAGUAUUUAAGCACCCUGACAAGGACCAUGCUAGUAUGCAUAUCUAGUGUAACUGUUAACUGCAGUAUCUCAGAAUAAAAUGUAAAAAAAAAUUCUAGCUACAGAAAUUCCGUCUAGUCAGCUGAGCACACAGGGCAUUCAACGAUGAGCUCCUAAAUUCGAAUUAUAAAUGAUCAAUCCGGGACAAAAUUUGCAUUCAUACAGGACCUCUUUCUGCAGACAGAAACUGCAACUUACUACUAAAAGAAUUAAAAUAAAUCAAUCAUGGAACUAUGGAAGCAACUUGAGUCAACACAAUAAACAAUUUCCCACCAUGUACAAACCACAGGAGACAGCAUAAUAGUAGUUCAUGACUAUAUCUCCUUCCUGAUAGCCUGAUAAUCAACCACGAAAUUGGUGCCAGGUGUGCCACAUUAUUCCAUUUCAUACAGCUGCCACCCCUAGCUCAACAUGGAACCCAGACAAAUAAGGAACCCAGACAAAUAAAGUUCACAAUUUCAAAGCAAGGACCCUGCCAACAAGCAAUUCUCGCAAUGCUCCAUGUUUCACUUAAGAAUCGACCUUUUCUACCACAUAAAUGCAUAGAUUCCAUCCAAUCCUACACAUGGACUACAAAAGAGGACCUGAUUCAUCACAGCACAAACCAAACACCCUAAUAGAUUCGAAAAACGACUAGAAGCACAACAGCAAUUCCAAUCAACAAAUCAACCGACUCCAAACUUAUCUAUCUGGUAAAGGCCCAAUCACAAGUCCAAUCUACAAGCCACUCGAUUCCAAAUUAACUCGCUACCAAAAGCCUAAUCGCACAACGCCUCCACGCGCCAAACCCAACUUCAACCAUCAUCACACAACUCAAACCCUAAACUUCCACCCGUGACGCCCAACACGAACGCACGAUCACAGGCGACUCCACCCGAUCGCCAACAAUCCGUAUCUUCAUCAACCCUACGCGGAGAGAUCGAAAGGCAUUGCGAGAGAAGAGGGAGGGAGGAAGGGAUGGAGGGAUGCACGACCUUGGGAGCGGGAGGGCACGAAGACGGCGCCGCCCCGAGACGCCGCCGCCUUCGCCUGCGUCGGGAACGGCAAACCCUAGCGGGGCGAGGCGAGGCGAGUCGGCGGCGCGAAAGGUCGAGCCGUGGGGGGCGGAGGUGGAGCGUGACACGGGAUGGGGGGGGGGGGGGAGGGGGGGCGUGAAGGGUUUAUAGCCAAACGGACAAACUGGUUUGGAAGGGGUUUUAGGGUGGCGUGGCUCUGGAACCUACCAUAUUUCACUGACGUGUGGGACCUAUAAGCUGGUUUCCAUCGGCCGCCCACGUCGGAGAGGGGUAGUUCCGAGCUCGGGUGGGUUACCAUACGAUUGACGCUUUCUUUCCUUCCUGGGUCGGGUCACGCUUGCAAAACCCAGCGCGGGCCGCGAGUGUUAAUUUUGGGCCCAUUGGCUUUCCUAGUGUGCUGAGGCCUGGCCCAUGUAGGCCCGUUGAACAUUUGCACCAGCCCAUUAGUGCGGGUAACAGGGGUGGGCCCCCAGGGGAAGACAGGGAUGCACAUGCACACGACCUUGGGAGCUCUGCCUCUCUCGCGGUCUCGCCAUGGAUCCACGCCUCCACCCCUGUUUUGCCGCUGCGACCGCCGAUGGCCUCGCCGUGCCACCCCCACUGCGGGAGUGCGGGGCACCCUCCAUCGGCCUUCCCACCUCGCAGCGGAGGAGGUUGGAGGCGAGAUGUUCUCUGGGAUUGCGAUUAUCUCUAGGUGACCUGGCAAUGGCCUGCCGACCGCGUGCUCGACGAAAUGCGCGCGCGCGCUGGGCGGCGGAUAGAGCCUGGUCGUACGUGCUGCACCAUGGCCUGGUCAGCGUGACAGCGCCCCGCAUGUUGGGCGCGCGUGCCAGCCGGUGGCGUCGUCCACCAUAGGUGAUGGCUCCUGUUGCAUCUGACCCGCCGAUGGGACGCUGGUAACUUAUUCCUUGCGCUGACAUGGCGGCGCCGGCAUUCCAUGUGCGGUGCCGAGAGGAUUCCUCCCAAGCUCAGGACCGUUCGUCCUUCGCGAUGACGAAAACUAAUCGCACGCGAGGCUGUAGCAGUCCACUAGUAAGAGCCGAUAAAUCUCUGACGGUUGACACUUGACAGUGCCAUUGAAAUCUUAAACGGUGCUGACGCCUGACGCCAUUGAAAAUCAUGGUCAGGUUAGUCCGGGUGGUGGUCCAUUGCAAUCUUGGCCUAUUCACUGUGCGCACACAGUUUGGAAAAUGGCAAGCGUGCAUGCCGCAUGCUGGUCUGGACUCUGGAGUUGGAGGAUGGAGGUAUGCCUUGCUCUGUCACUAUCAGAAAAAUGCCUGCCCUUGUCAGUUCAAUUCAUCUCUCUGCUGCCAAUUUGCGUCCUGUGUCCACGUCUCUUGUCCUAGAUGAUCUGACACUGACUCUGCUACAGUUAUACCGUUGAGAAUCGUUUAUGCUGAACAGAAAAGUUGCUUGCGCAGACUAAAGACGACCCUCCACUGCAGUGCUGGAUGUUGCCUUUACACAGAUUACUAGUUCCGUUUACUUUGGGGAGACAGGGUAAUGGUAGGUUUUGUUGAUUGUCCUUGUGCAAAUCUCAAGUUAGAACUCUUACAGUUCUUUUAGUUAUAGCAAAAUAUUUUGGGCUACAGCUUUAGAACUCCAAGUGGGUGUCAUCACCACUCUGGCAGAGUGGCAGAAACAAUCUAAUUAUCUAAAAUAGUAUGAGAUGUUCGUGGAAUAUAAAAGCCAAAUGGCCCUUUGUACCUGAAACAGGUGUAGAUGGAGUUCAACUAUUGCUUCAUGAAAGAAACAGCAGCUUGUGUAAUCUGGAAUGCAGCAUGAUUCGGCCAAAAGAACAUGACAUGCGUCAGAAGAGUUUAUUAACUAUUAUAUAUAGAUUUCCUCACUUCUUCUAGCACUGAUGGCAGCAAGAUUAGUAUUGAGGAACAUUUAUAUUCCUUCUACAGUUUAGUCUUCAGCAAAAUAUAAAAGGUUACAUUUACUAGAGCCUAAGCUUCUUAACAUAAACAACUACUACCACAAAUACUCAGUUUACACUACUGAAAGAAAGCUGCCUCCGCAGCUUCCAUUGUCCAAAUUGCAUCUUCUCUGUAGCCCCACCAUCUAUGACCUCGUUGAUAAGGUUUUUGAAUAUGUCCUUUUCGAUUUCCAAAACCAUGUCAUGUAGUAUGGUGUCAAAGCUCAUCCAGUCUUUUGUGAUAUCCUCAUGUACUGGCAUGUUUUCAUUCUCAUCCUCUUCGGAGCAUUUUGUUAGCCUGUCAACCUCAGUGCACAAAUCCUUGAAUAGUUGCCACCCACUUAACUUCCUUGACUGAAGAAAUUUUACUGGCUGACUUCGAAAUCUGCAGAUGUUCAUCUUCUGUGCUAUGGUUUCGUUUACCAUGUCAAACACAAGUCUUCGGUGAAGCUUUCCUGUGCAAGGCUUAGAACAUUUCUUAGCUGCACUGACAGUUUGAAAUUCUGAAGCAAUGUCUGGUUUUGUUUGUUCAAGAAUGAGGAAGAGCUCCGGGUUGAUCAGAUUACUUGAUGGUCGGAGUUGACCAGGUAAUGCUGUGAAACUAAGUUCUUUAUGCAAAAGACCAGAUGCCAAUAGUAUCUCAUAGAUAUAGUGAUGAUCUUUAUUUGCAGCAACUGAUGCCAUGACUUCUUUGAUAUUUGCAGCUUCCUCGUUCAUUGAUUGCAGUUGCUCAAGCUUCUGGAUGAGGAACUCCAAGUUUUCUGGUUUAAUCUGGUUGACUUCACUGCUCGCCUUAGACUGUGGUGUGUCAGGCAGGCUGUUUGGGUUCCAGCACUCAUCCGAAGAAUGUGUCUCACCAUCUGAACAGGUAAUAAUGAUAUUUCAGAAAACAGUGCCCAAUAAUACGAAAAAUACAGAAUUUCACUGUCAGACAAAGCAUGUAUCAGACAGGAGAGACGAAAACACUGUCCACCUACAGAUCCAUCGAAUGAUGCACACUAGGUGUAUUUGUAGAGGGGGACAUUGGUGGGGCACAUCUACUCUAGCAUGUAUGCACACCAAAAGACACAUAUCGUGCUCCUGCAUAAGCAGUGCUGCGUGUGGGGUUGCAGCCAUGCACUGUUGAGCACAUCUAGCUGCUGUGGUUCCUCCUAAUUGCAGGACCACAAGCUAUCUGGUAGCUUUUAUUACAGAUUAUCUGUCACUAGCGUUAUCAGCACACUGACAGCUAGCUAUGCUUGUCCUUUGAGUAACACUAUGGGCUUCUGAAUUGAAUAAGACCAAACAGUAGGAUCUAUCAUGCUGGUGUUCUUGCAGGAAACAGCAGGUUAAUGAUGGUAAACGAAGAAACCUACUUCUUACCUUUGAAUGAAUCUGAAAUCCUUUUAUGAUAGAAGGAUGUGUCGAGGACAGAGACAGGGCUCGGGAUGUUGUCCAGUGAAUGAAUAUUUUGGUCUGAACCCAGAAUUGAAGGACCCUGAAAGAGGAUAGAGAGGAAUUAUUCGCUAGUAAGUAUCUUGGUGAUAAACAAUGAAUACAAAUUACAUGAAAGUUGUAGAACUAUAUGGUUUCUUGAUAUAUACAUUUUUCCCUUUAUCUGUACCUUGUGACUUGAUGUUGUGGCAACUUUGCAUGGUUGAACAAAUGAUGAGCUGACACCUGGGGGCUUUGGACAAUCCAUGAUACUGACAUCAACUUGCUUUGCUAAGCUGAUUCUGCUCCCUGCACUCGGCAAUACCUCAUCACGGUGGCUUUUCACCUGAGAAGGCUUUGAUCUUAUUCGUCCUUUUGGGGAAACAGCUUCAUUGGACUUCUUGCUUGGAGAUUUUGGUGAGACCGGCGGACGAGACCUCCUUUCGGACUCUGCUUUCUUUUGCACAUUUCUGGGGCUUGAUGAACCUGUAGGCCUCGGUGAGCUGGCACUGCUGACAGGUUCUUCUGACUUCGAUUGAGCUCUGGACAUCCGAAGAUGAAUCUUGUCAUCCGUGCCAUUGAAAGAUGAAUCUCUGACCGGCAACUUCCUCAGGCUUCUGAGGCCUGCAAUUGGAGCAACUGAAGCAAGUGAAACCCCAGGCUUCUUGGUGGUUCUUGCAGGCUUCAUAACCACAAUUGGAGGCUGGAAGUCUCUGGGCUCGGUGGCUUGAUCAUACCCUGUCCUCUGAACAGCCACUGAUCCAGCAUUGCUGUCAUUCUGGCUCUUAGAAUCUUUUGCAUUCAAUGCCCCCAAUAUUCUGAGAGCCCUGAAGUCCUUGUUAUUACACUCUAAGAAGUCGAGGCCCCCGAGCCUUCUUUCUAUGUCAGCAUAGACAGAUGCAGUCCUUGGCCUCCCUUCAGCUUCUCGACAUUGUUGUGCUUUUAUGUUGUUGGCACUUCUCUCCUGCUGCCUCCAAGGAGCCGCUUCUGUGAGAAUUCUUGGGGAAGGCUUGGUUCUGAGUACCCAAGACUCAUUCUUCAGCUGUAACAUGCAGGAAUCCUGGCAAGUGCUUCUGGGCGAACGUGAUGGAUUCUCAUAUUGAGUGGCUUGUGCAGGUCUCGGUGAUCUUGAAGUCUCAUGGUUAUCAGCAGUCAGCACCCCUGUAGCAUCUGUUGCUUCUUCCAACCCCAUUAGCUUGGCAAUGACACUGUUGGCUCUCCUAUGGCUUGGAGAAUCUUGAGGCCUCAAAGUAUCCAAGAGAAUAUCAUCAGUUCUCUUGUAACUGAAGUUAUUCUGGCGUGAGCUUGGACUCAGAGACUCCUUCCUACUGUCCAAGGACAAUCUAGGGAGCUCUUUGGGCCUUGAAGAAGGCCUCUUGCUUUCCUGGGUUUCGGCUGGCCGCAGGAGUCUUCGGUCAUCACAUGAGAAGCGUGAUUGCUCCUGCAAACGCCUGUUAGAUUCAGUGACAGUUGCAGGAACCUUUGUGCUCCUAUCGAUCCCAAUAAUACAGGUUCCAUCCAUUGAUUUGGACAGCAGCAGCGGCCUUGGUGAGUCCUUGUACUGCCCAUUUCUCCGUGCCUCCUGUACCGAGGUUUUUACAGUUAGGCCUCCGGAUUCCCGGUUGAUGGAGUCCUUCACUAUAUCUCUGAAACCGACAUUAGGAUGCCCGGGCUUGGUGUUCAUGUCAGUUUCCUUCAAACUUGGUGAUCUCUUCAGUGACCUCUGCACAAAGAGCUCCUCAUUGAUGUAAGGAAGCUCCUGUUGGACUGAUUUGUUGCCAUCAAGCGACGAGAAGGAUGAGCAUGAAGAGGAGGACGAAGAAGCUCUUGAUGAUUCGAUUGAAAGACUGCUGUUCUCAGUCGUACAUUUGCUGAAUGUUUUCUCCUGCAUAAGCAACUGAUAGGUUAGUGCCAGAUUCUUUAUGCAUUCAUAAUAUACUUCUGAUAGAUGUGUAAAAUGGUUUCCCUGACCAAAAAAACGGAAAAAAAGUUUUGAGUCCAACCAGGUAGGAAUAUUACCAGAACGAUCUUUGAAGUACUUGAACUUUGAACUGGGACAUUCCUGCUGCUCUUUGGAACAGUAUUGUCUGGACAACAUAAGGAGGUAUUAGAAUAAAAUAUCUAAACAGAGAAAAUAGAGCAAUUUAUUACGCCAUGCUGGUAAUGCAAAACGCUGAUAGUUAAGUUGACGAAAUAUUUACUGAAAUGCAUUAAUACAUUAUUGGAAUUAUUGCAAUCAAGUGUUGAGCUGUCCUCUUCAGCUAAUCUGUCAUUUAGAAGGUUUGUUUUCUAAAACUAAAUGUUAAGCUGUCCUCUUCAGAUAAUCUGUCAUUACUAGAAUCUAGAAAGAUUAGUUUUUUUGUAAAAAACCUAAUGUUAAGCUGUCCUCUUCAGUAUGGUUAUAUAAAUGAAAUUUAUAAUACACUGUUCCGCUGUCCUCUUCAGUCAGCGUGAAUAGUUAACCUUGUGCUCUUUCCGGCUCUGGGGGUACCCAAAUCCUCAUCAUUUGAUGUCGCUACGUCGAUGCGGUGCUCAUCUAGUGCUAAAAGUGUCCGUGUGCUGUCAUUAGUGCAUUCUUAAGUAAAUGCUUUUAUGAUCACAAUUACUACGGUCAACCACUGCUGUAGUACACAUGUUCUCCUUACAGCAUGUAACUUGCACAAGAAACCUCCUAGUCUCUCGUCAGUAAAAGAAGGUACCGUAUACAAAAUUUGGAUUAUGGUACCAACAUGGCAAUUUCUUUUGCAACAUUCACUUUACAGGAAGUUGGUUCGCCCAUGCUGCAAGGCAACCGGUUUUUAUACUCCUGAGCAGUUUUACCAAACAAGGUAUUUUGUUUUUUAUAAUCCGUCCGGUGUUCUUAGCUGAACCCUCCAACUGUCGAUCUUACCAAACUUUUUGAAUAAUAACAUGGAAACGCACUUUAGGUUUCAACGCACACAAGUAGCAUGUUUUUUUUAGUCAAAAAACUCCUAACUUUCUUAUCUCAAGUCAACACACCAGAAUGAGUUGUACUAGCUAAAUAUCGUCGUGAAGGUGAGUUAAAACUGGAUCAGUUCUUGGAAGCAAAACACAACGGCAAAGUACGACGACGACGAAGAAGAAGAAGAAGAAGAAGAUGAUUUCGCAAAAACUUGAACAGAGCAGAGCAGAACGAUGCAGAGAGCAGUAAGCAGCCCAGGAGGAAGCCAUUACCUGGAGCUGACGGCGGAGGCAGCCUCUUCUGCGCCUGCCGGCCGCCGCGCCGGCCACUCCCGGUGAUGAGCCGUUGGCGGUCGAAGAUCUGGAAUAUGCCGGACAUGCACCCCAUUUGCCGGUCGAGCUCCCGCGCGUCGUCGGCGAAGGCCGCGGCGCCGCGCAUCCUCACCGGCAUCGUCCGUGCUCCUCCAAGCUUUCCUCGUUCUCAGCCCCCGAUCAGGCGCCGGAGCAAGGUGGCCGCCCAAGGCGAUCACCAGCUCGCAUUCAGGGGCGCUACAGCUACUGAUGGUCAGGCCGCAGCGCACCACCGCCACCAGAGAAGCUUCCGAAGCAGAGGGGGGAGCCAGUCACGGCGCAAGCAAAGCUGCGAGAAGCAGCGUGCACACGCAGAUGCAGGGGCAGAUAUAGAAGCUGGAGUCUCUUCUUUUCCCUUUGGGAUGGGCGAGUUCAGAGGAAUGUUAUCAUUGCGGCGCCAUGCAGGCUCUCUUCGUGAGGAGAGAAGGAGAGGGAGACGGGGGGAGAGGCCCGUGGAUUAAGNNNNNNNNNNNNNNNNNNNNNNNNNNNNNNNNNNNNNNNNNNNNNNNNNNNNNNNNNNNNNNNNNNNNNNNNNNNNNNNNNNNNNNNNNNNNNNNNNNNNNNNNNNNNNNNNNNNNNNNNNNNNNNNNNNNNNNNNNNNNNNNNNNNNNNNNNNNNNNNNNNNNNNNNNNNNNNNNNNNNNNNNNNNNNNNNNNNNNNNNNNNNNNNNNNNNNNNNNNNNNNNNNNNNNNNNNNNNNNNNNNNNNNNNNNNNNNNNNNNNNNNNNNNNNNNNNNNNNNNNNNNNNNNNNNNNNNNNNNNNNNNNNNNNNNNNNNNNNNNNNNNNNNNNNNNNNNNNNNNNNNNNNNNNNNNNNNNNNNNNNNNNNNNNNNNNNNNNNNNNNNNNNNNNNNNNNNNNNNNNNNNNNNNNNNNNNNNNNNNNNNNNNNNNNNNNNNNNNNNNNNNNNNNNNNNNNNNNNNNNNNNNNNNNNNNNNNNNNNNNNNNNNNNNNNNNNNNNNNNNNNNNNNNNNNNNNNNNNNNNNNNNNNCGCUGCUGUUGCCGUGGCAUUGGUAGGCCGCCUCGGCCCGGCGGUCGGCGGAUCACCGGUUAGCUGGCGCCUGGCGAUCGGCCGCGCCGCGCUGUGCCGCGCGCGUUACUGCGAUCGGGGGAGGUUGUGCACGGUGUGCCACAUACACAUGCCAUCCGGCCCCUGGGAGUGGAGGUAAGCGUCGCGUAUCCAUGUCCCCGCCGGCCCCGGUCGUCGGCAUCGUCGCCACCCUUUUGCCAGGGUGACGAGGGGAACAGCAGUCCAUGCCGGGGCCCCAGGUGUGGUACGCGUAUACAUCCAGCAUCCCAUCGUCCAUCAUGCCGCUGCCGCUCGUACCUGAGAUCUUGAGAAUACGAUAGCCGAUGCCCGAUAGGUUGUCAUGUAUGGUCUCCUCCUCCUCGUAUGCAUGUGGAUAAAAACAUAUACGUACGGGUACUCACUGUUCAUCAUUGCGCUCGGUCGACGUAUCGCAUCGUAUCCUCUGGUCGUAUGCGUCCGUCUCCGAAUGUCUGUCUGUAUGGGAGAUGGCGCGAGCGAGUGGACCUGGUAACUCGUUCAAACCGUUAUGCCACGACCGGGAGCGCGGGAAACCCCUGCAUCUCAGGCAGCAUCUCCAUACGCCAUGGAGGCAUGGACUGAUGGAGUCACGCGUCGUGCAGGGGCGCUUGCUCUCCCGCGCACUCUGAGCGCGUGACACCAGUUACGGCUCGGCUCUCUGAACCUGUGAUCUCUUUUACUGACGGCGCUUGCGACCUCGAUCGGUAAAAAUUCAGGUGCUCCAUCUGCUAUUCCGGACGAAAAGGAAACGGAGAUGUUCGAAUUUGUCCGAAUGGAGAACGGAUCUGGGGACUUUUUUUUUUGGGCUGCGAAGGGGUGUUUGGACAGGGCAAUUAUGAUGCACAGCUACGUGUAACAUGCACGGCCACUGGACUUUAGUGCGCUUUAAGGAAAAAGGCCGCCGGGUGACACCUUACACACGAGCAGGUGUGCCAUUAACACGUCGUUAAGCCUCUCUCAAGAAAGGUUUACUACUACUCAAGAUCGCAAUCGCAACAGUACUAGGUUUUGAGCGGCCGUCAGUACCAUCAACACGCUGCUAAAAGUGCUACACCUUGUACUAAUGCGGGGAUGGUCGGUUAACCAACACUCACCAGUCGGAUCUUCUGGCUGACCUCUGGUGAUGCAAACAGAUAUCUGAUGCUGAGAAAGCAUAUCCUAUCAUGGUGAAGCACACAGCGCACACACUCGUUCCGAUGAACUCCUCUUUGCAUCGAUAAUCGUUUGUUUUUAUUGUGGUUGUUAAUCCUUAUGCAUCGGCUUCCGGUUCCGCAUCUAGCGAGUCGUCCUGAGCUCAGCUCACAUGGCGAGCGCGUGGUUAACAGUAAACAAGCCUGAGCCCCAAUCGGAGGAACCCCUCUCGUGACAUCACGUUGCAAGUCUGAGCCCGAUCAGUCAUGCCGCUGAUGUGCCUGGUGGUAGUAGUAAAAACCGCUCUGCACCAAUCGAGGUGCGCGGGAUGGCUGCGACUGUGAGCACUCCCAUGGCUGGCGCGCGCCAUGGCGGUGCAGUAUAGCGGUGGUCCACGUCCACGGCGCCGCUCGUCACAAGUCCCGACGCCGAGCUCGUAGAUGCGGGCGCGGGACGGCGGGAGGCAGGGGAGCGAGGACGCCGAGGGGAUCGGGGGGGAACCGGGAAGGCGGGGGGGGGGGGGGGGGGGGAAGAGCCCUCUCUUGCUAGAUGUGGUAGAAUCACAGUUUGAUUAAUCUUGCAUCGGCUGAUAUCUAUUUAAUCUAUCAUCUUGUCGUCUGGCUUGCUUUGAUUAUCUCUAGAUUAUAUCAUCAUAGACGAUAGAUUACUUAAUGACGGGAUUUUCCUAGUCUGCGUNNNNNNNNNNNNNNNNNNNNNNNNNNNNNNNNNNNNNNNNNNNNNNNNNNNNNNNNNNNNNNNNNNNNNNNNNNNNNNNNNNNNNNNNNNNNNNNNNNNNUCAUGUUUCAGCUAGUUGCAUGCGUUAACCAUGGUUGGGUGUUUGGUUAUUGGAUGAGUACGCUAGCUGCUAGCAACUGAGCUGCCGGGGCCUGUCACUUGAUAAGAUUGGCUCUCGCUCGAUCGUCCUGUUCGGCGGCACCAACACUGUGGCAUGAUGCUUAGGGUUGAGGGGUGAUUGGUUCAAGGACUGAGUUUAGUUUUUGUCAUAUCGAAUGUUUGAUAUUAAUUAGAAGUAUUAAAUAUAGAAUAAUUACAAAAUCAAUUGCAUAAAUAAAGGUUAAUUCGCGAGACGGAUCUAUUAAGCCUAAUUAGUCCAUGAUUUGACCAUGUGAUGCUACAGUAAAUAUGUGUUAAUCAUGAAUUAAUUAGGUUUAAUUGAUUUAUCUCACGAAUUAGCCUUCAUUUAUGCAAUUAGUUUUAUAAUUAAUCUAUAUUUAAUACUUCUUAACAUCUAAAUAUUCGAUAGGGACUAAACUUCUCAAUUUCAUUACUGUAUCUUCAUCACGUGGCCUCAAUUUCUCAAUUGUAUCUUUGUUAUUCCAAUAUGUUUCAAUUGCUUCGUAAAUAUGGGCAGAUGCAAUUAAUUUGUCUCAAUUACUUUGAUGUCAAGCAUAUUUGCAGCCACCUAAGUGGUGCAGGGGGCUCCACAUUAAAGUUAACAACAUAUUAAUUAUUUUUAUCAAUUUCUUCAUAAAUCUCGUAGGUUUGUGAUGUGUUUGCCAGCUUGUCAAACAACACAUUAGUUAUGUAAAAUUUACUAUAGAAACUAAAAACGUUUUACAUAAAUUCUUUUUUUCUUAUGCCCAAUUGAUUGAAAUUCAGGUUUCCCUCAUCGAAACAAAAGACACUGUUUGAAGCAGUUUAAGACAGAUAAAUGAAUAGUGAUCUUAAGUUGUGUAUAUGAAUGGUAUAUGGCAUAUGUCUACUUGCCCCCUUUGAUUCCUGGCUCCGCCCCUGGACGCAGAUGCAGUGAGUUAACCACGCUGAUACUCUGCUGCUGCCUGCUGGUGGUGGUCUGGUCUGGUGGUACUGUAACUUUCUGCAGGCGGGCAGCAGCGAGCAACUCGAACUCUGCUGCGGCUGGCGGAGAGUGGCGUUAACUGGAAGCGAACAAGAAGGCAAGCCGGAGAGAGAGACAGGCGCAUUGAGGCGGGGUGGGGCGGGGACGGGGAGGGGCCCCGGGGACCAGUGCGGGUGGAUCUUGGGGCAUGGCUGCCGAGUGCUGGCGACCUGCGUGGGCUGGAGGAACUGGACCCCCGCGCCUGUUUGCCCUCCCGCCAUCAUCAUGCUCCAUUCCUCGUUCCUUAUCCCUGGCUAAAUCAUCCAUCCAUGGAAAUCAAGGUCAAGUGCUGGUUUCUCAAAAUUUCCAGAGUCUUGCUCAUCACUACCAUGAUAGGUAAAAAGUGAAAAACGUGCAUUGCAUGAACAUGAACAUCUUGCCGACGAGACGACGACUGUUUCGUUUUUGUUUUUGUGGGGCAAAAGGACUGGAUUUUUCCGGCGGCGAAAUCCGGAGAGGCUCGUGAGUGAAUGCUGCAGCGAUGGUUAGGUUAGGUGGAAGGAUCGGUCGCUGCGAAUUGAAGGGAGUUCGUUAGGUUUUCCCGCCAGUUACAGUCGCCGCCCCGGUUCGUACGUGCGGCGCCAGGGGAUCGUUGCCUCUUCAUUUCCUUUGCCGCCAACGUUUCCUUCCCUCCAAAUGUCACAAAAUUCAGGACCCUGCAGCCUACGUACAACAGCGGUGAAUCACGAAAGGACACGGCAGGUGUUCCUGGACAUUUACUCCGGUCGUAGUGUGGGCGUCUUCCAAGCAUCCCUUGUCAUGGAUAAACUGAUGCUAGCAUAGGACUACAAGUAUUCUCUCAUGGAGAGAAGCACUGUUG
rnacentral:lncRNA from 1 species